AGUGAACGCUGGCGGUAGGCCUAACACAUGCAAGUCGAACGGCAGCACAGUAAGAGCUUGCUCUUACGGGUGGCGAGUGGCGGACGGGUGAGGAAUACAUCGGAAUCUACUUUUUCGUGGGGGAUAACGUAGGGAAACUUACGCUAAUACCGCAUACGACCUACGGGUGAAAGCAGGGGAUCUUCUGACCUUGCGCGAUUGAAUGAGCCGAUGUCGGAUUAGCUAGUUGGCGGGGUAAAGGCCCACCAAGGCGACGAUCCGUAGCUGGUCUGAGAGGAUGAUCAGCCACACUGGAACUGAGACACGGUCCAGACUCCUACGGGAGGCAGCAGUGGGGAAUAUUGGACAGUGGGCGCAAGCCUGAUCCAGCCAUACCGCGUGGGUGAAGAAGGCCUUCGGGUUGUAAAGCCCUUUUGUUGGGAAAGAAAAGCAGCAGGUUAAUACCCCGCUGUUCUGACGGUACCCAAAGAAUAAGCACCGGCUAACUUCGUG
rnacentral:rRNA from 1 species